GAGUUUGAUCCUGGCUCAGAUUGAACGCUGGCGGCAUGCCUUACACAUGCAAGUCGAACGGCAGCACGGAGCUUGCUCUGGUGGCGAGUGGCGAACGGGUGAGUAAUAUAUCGGAACGUACCCUAGAGUGGGGGAUAACGUAGCGAAAGUUACGCUAAUACCGCAUACGAUCUAAGGAUGAAAGUGGGGGAUCGCAAGACCUCAUGCUCGUGGAGCGGCCGAUAUCUGAUUAGCUAGUUGGUAGGGUAAAAGCCUACCAAGGCAUCGAUCAGUAGCUGGUCUGAGAGGACGACCAGCCACACUGGAACUGAGACACGGUCCAGACUCCUACGGGAGGCAGCAGUGGGGAAUUUUGGACAAUGGGCGAAAGCCUGAUCCAGCAAUGCCGCGUGAGUGAAGAAGGCCUUCGGGUUGUAAAGCUCUUUUGUCAGGGAAGAAACGGUGAGAGCUAAUAUCUCUUGCUAAUGACGGUACCUGAAGAAUAAGCACCGGCUAACUACGUGCCAGCAGCCGCGGUAAUACGUAGGGUGCAAGCGUUAAUCGGAAUUACUGGGCGUAAAGCGUGCGCAGGCGGUUUUGUAAGUCUGAUGUGAAAUCCCCGGGCUCAACCUGGGAAUUGCAUUGGAGACUGCAAGGCUAGAAUCUGGCAGAGGGGGGUAGAAUUCCACGUGUAGCAGUGAAAUGCGUAGAUAUGUGGAGGAACACCGAUGGCGAAGGCAGCCCCCUGGGGUCAAGAUUGACGCUCAUGCACGAAAGCGUGGGGGAGCAA
rnacentral:rRNA from 1 species